rfam:Chitinophaga pinensis DSM 2588, complete genome.
AGGAGGAUAGUUCAAUUGGAAGAAUGCUGGUCUCCCAGUCCAGGGACGUAGGUUCGAACCCUGCUCCUCCAC